rnacentral:rRNA from 1 species
GACCGGAGUGGACGCAUCACUGGUGUUCGGGUUGUCAUGCCAAUGGCACUGCCCGGUAGCUAAAUGCGGAAAAGAUAAGUGCUGAAAGCAUCUAAGCACGAAACUUGCCCCGAGAUGAGUUCUCCCUGAGACUUUGAGUCUCCUGAAGGAACGUUAAAGACGAUGACGUUGAUAGGCCGGGUGUGUAAGCGCAGCGAUGCGUUGAGCUAACCGGUACUAAUGAACCGUGAGGCUUAACCUUACAACGCCGAAG